UACGAAGGUGGCAAGCGUUGUUCGGAUUUACUGGGCGUAAAGGGAGCGUAGGUGGUCGGGUAAGCCCCGCGGGAAAGCUCCAGGCUUAACCUGGAAAGGUCGCGGGGGACUGCUCGGCUAGAGGACGGGAGAGGAGCGCGGAAUUCCCGGUGUAGCGGUGAAAUGCGUAGAGAUCGGGAGGAAGGCCGGUGGCGAAGGCGGCGCUCUGGAACGGCCCUGACACUGAGGCUCGAAAGCGUGGGGAGCAAACAGG
rnacentral:rRNA from 1 species